AACUUUUAACAACGGAUCUCUUGGCUCUAGCAUCGAUGAAGAACGCAGCGAAACGCGAUAAGUAGUGUGAAUUGCAGAAUUCAGUGAAUCAUCGAAUCUUUGAACGCACAUGGCGCUCCCCGGCAUCCCGGGGAGCAUGCCUGUCCGAGCGUCGUUU
rnacentral:rRNA from 1 species